AUUGAACGCUGGCGGCAGGCUUAACACAUGCAAGUCGAACGAGUGGCGGACGGGUGAGUCAUGCUUGGGAAUCUAGCUUCUGGAGGGGGAUAACUACGGGAAACAGUAGCUACUACCGCGUACCAUAGGUUGAGCCCACGUGGGAUUAGGGAGUUGGUGAGGUAAAGGCUAACAAAGCCGACGAUCUCUAGCUGGUCUGAGAGGAGGACCAGGCACACUGGGACUGAGACACGGCGCAGACUCCUACGUGAGGCAGCAGUGGGGAAUAUUGCGCAAGGGUGGAAACCUGACGCAGCCAUGCCGCGUGAAUGAAGAAGGCAUUCGGGUUGUAAAGUUCUUUCGGUAGCGAGGCGUUAACUACAGAAGAAGCACCGGCUAACCCCGUGCCAGCCGCCGCGGUAAAAC
rnacentral:rRNA from 1 species